GACGAACGCUGGCGGCGUGCUUAACACAUGCAAGUCGAACGCUGAAGCUCAGCUUGCUGGGUGGAUGAGUGGCGAACGGGUGAGUAACACGUGAGUAACCUGCCCUCUUCUUUGGGAUAACGCCCGGAAACGGGUGCUAAUACUGGAUAUUCACUGAUUCUCGCAUGGGGGUUGGUGGAAAGGUUUUUUCUGGUGGGGGAUGGGCUCGCGGCCUAUCAGCUUGUUGGUGGGGUGAUGGCCUACCAAGGCUUUGACGGGUAGCCGGCCUGAGAGGGUGACCGGUCACAUUGGGACUGAGGUCCGGCCCCGACUCCUACGGGGGGCAGCAGGGGGGAAUAUUGCCCAAGGGGGGAAAGCCUGAUGCACCGCCGCCGGGGGGGGGGUGGGGGCCUUCGGGUUGGAAACCUUUUUGGCUCAGGGUCAAGCCGCAGUUUUGGGUUGUGGUGGGGGUGGUGGGUAAAGAAGCCCCGGCUACCUACGU
rnacentral:rRNA from 1 species